rnacentral:misc_RNA from 1 species
GUGGGAGGGGGCUUGCUCCCGAUGGCGGUGGGUCAGUCUCUAUAUCUAUGACUGACCCACCGCUAUCGGGAGCAAGCCCCCUCCCAC